rnacentral:hammerhead_ribozyme from 1 species
AUUUAGUUGAUGAGUCCCAAAAAUAGGAUGAAACGCGCGUCAGACUGGAU